CUACGGGGUGCACCAGUGAGGAAUAUUGCACAAUGGGGGGAACCCUGAUGCAGCAACGCCGCGUGGAGGAUGACGCAUUUCGGUGUGUAAACUCCUUUUAUAUGUCAAGAAAAUGACGGUAGCAUAUGAAUAAGCACCGGCUAACUCCGUGCCAGCAGCCGCGGUAAUACGGAGGGUGCAAGCGUUACUCGGAAUCACUGGGCGUAAAGGACGCGUAGGCGGGCUGGAAAGUCAGGUGUGAAAUCCUACAGCUUAACUGUAGAACUGCACUUGAAACUUCUAAUCUAGAGUAUGGGAGGGGGAGAUGGAAUUAGUGGUGUAGGGGUAAGAUCCGUAGAUAUCACUAGGAAUACCUAAAGCGAAGGCGAUCUCCUGGAACAUUACUGACGCUAAGGCGUGAAAGCGUGGGGAGCAAACAGGAUUAGAUACCCGCGUAGUC
rnacentral:rRNA from 1 species